AUUGAACGCUGGCGGCAGGCUUAACACAUGCAAGUCGAACGAGUGGCGGACGGGUGAGUAAUGCUUGGGAAUCUAGCUUAUGGAGGGGGAUAACUACGGGAAACAGUAGCUAAUACCGCAUACCAUAGGAUGAGCCCCAGUGGGAUUAGGUAGUUGGUGGGGUAAAGGCUCACCAAGCCGACGAGCCCUAGCUGGUCUGAGAGGAGGACCGGCCACACUGGGACUGAGACACGGCCCCGACUCCUACGGGAGGCAGCAGUGGGGAAUCUUGGACAAUGGGCGCAAGCCUGAUCCGGCCAUGCCGCGUGUCUGAAGAAGGCCUUCGGGUUGUAAAGGACUUUUGUCAGGGAAGCGGUACCUGAAGAAUAAGCACCGGCUAACUACGUGCCAGCAGCCGCGGUAAUAC
rnacentral:rRNA from 1 species